UGAUGAUGAUUCUUCAGUAUUCUGCGCUGUGAUAUGUCUGUGUGAUAUGUCUGUUUCAUAUUUUGGAGGUGACUAUUGCCUUUGUCGAUCUGCAUACAGACAUGUUCUUGUGUUUUG